UCUCGCCUCGCGGUAUUGCAGUUCAGUACGCCGCCGCUACGUAUUUGCAUGUUAUUUUGAUACAACAGCCCAAAGGUACAGUUUCUGUUCUCUAAACUGUGUUCUGUGGUAGAACCGUUACUGCCUUUCCGUGAAAUUCAACAGUGUCAGUCGCUGUUAUUUCGUCUCGCGUAAUGUCAAGCGUUUCCGACGACUUCUACUGUCAAUUCUGCGGUAGUACGUCUGGUCUGCGCCGAUGCGCGCAAUGCCAUGGCAUCUACUACUGCAGCAAGGAGCACCAGCGUUUGCACUGGCCUGCUCACAAACACAUCUGCAAGCGUGGCAACGCGCAGCACUCGCCAGCAUCACCACCGCCACUGCUAAUGGCUGGUUCAGCCAGUGUGCUGAACCCCCCCACGCCUCCCGUGACGACAGUUGUGGAGGUGCUGGCACCUUCAACGGCAGUACCCCCAGAUGCUGGCAUUGCUGCAGACAUUCCCAACUACGACCCCAAUGACCCAGUCAACCAGGCCUGGUGGAAUGACACCUUGUCCUCCUUGGGACUCGGCACAGAGGCCAGUGGGUCCGACUUGGCUAAUAAUGGUGCUAAGCCUGCAGCCCUGAAACCAUUGUCAACCAAGCGAUUUCAGAAGAUAUGUGCGGAUGUAGUGCACGACCUCAAAGAAUAUGGUAUCUGUGUCAUCGACAAGUUUCUGGGCAGGGAACGUGGCUCCCUGGUGUUUGACGAAGUGUAUAGUCUCUAUGGGAGUGGUGAGUUCCAGCAUGGGCAGCUGGUCAGUGAGCGGGAUGACACGGGCCGCAUCAUCAGGGGUGACCGCACCCUCUGGCUGGAUGGCACCGAGGUGGGCUUUCCUGCUGUUGGUUUUCUUGUGCGAACUCUGGAUGCCAUUAUCAGCCGAUGCAACAAAAGCCAAGAACUGCGACACUACUGCAUCAGCCAGCGCACCAAGGCCAUGAUAGCUUGCUACCCGGGCAAUGGGACGCAUUAUGUGAAGCAUGUGGACAAUCCAAACCAAGAUGGCCGUUGCAUCACCAGCAUCUACUACUUAAACAAAAAUUGGGACGUCCAGACUCAGGGAGGCCUGCUGCGCAUGUUUCCCGUGGGGCAGUCUACCAGUGUGGCCAACAUCGAACCUAUCUUUGACCGCAUGCUCUUCUUCUGGUCUGACCGAAGGAAUCCUCACGAGGUGCUGCCAGCCUACGCCAUCAGGUUUGCGAUCACAGUGUGGUAUCUGGAUGCGAAUGAACGGAAAAAUGCACUACAGAGGUUGCAGAAAGAACGUCUUGCAGAUCAGGAGGUUUAAUGCAUCAUCUCCUAUACCUUUCAAGAUAUGCGCCACUUUUCCAGACUCCUGUAUGCUGCCAUCUGCUUUGUGCAAAGGAUGUUGGCAGUGUGGUAUCGUCGCAGCACGGACUUAUCAAUCGGGGCAUGCCAGCCAGCACUAGCAUUAGCCCAAACCC
rnacentral:misc_RNA from 1 species